CACGUAGGCGGCGCUCUAAGUCAGGUGUGAAAUCCCCCGGCUCAACCGGGGAACUGCACCUGAUACUGGAGCGCUCGAGGACGGUAGGGGUGAGUGGAACUCCAGGUGGAGCGGUGAAAUGCGUAGAUAUCUGGAGGAACACCGGUGGCGAAAGCGGCUCACUGGACCGUCUCUGACGCUGAGGUGCGAAAGCUAGGGUAGCCAACG
rnacentral:rRNA from 1 species